rnacentral:rRNA from 1 species
UACGGAGGGUGCAAGCGUUACUCGGAAUCAUUGGGCGUAAAGCGUUCGUAGGCGGCAAGGUAAGUCUGAUGUUAAAGCCCGGGGCUCAACUCCGGUUCGGCAUUGGAUACUAUCUAGCUAGAAUGUGGUAGAGGUAAAGGGAAUUCCUAGUGUAGCGGUGAAAUGCGUAGAUAUUAGGAGGAACACCAGUGGCGAAGGCGGCUUACUGGACUGUAACUGACGUUGAGGCUCGAAAGCGUGGGGAGCAAACAGG